GACAGAGGUGCCGAGCGUUUAGGCGGAAUCACUGGGCUUAAAGCGUGUGUAGGCGGAUCGUUAAGUGUCUUGUGAAAUCCCCCGGCUCAACCGGGGAACUGCUGGGCAUACUGGCGAUCUUGAGCGGCCUAGGGGCAGAUGGAACAAGUGGUGGAGCGGUGAAAUGCGUAGAUAUCACUUGGAACGCCAAAGGUGAAAACAGUCUGCUGGGGGCCUGCUGACGCUGAGACACGAAAGCCAUGGGAGCGAACGGG
rnacentral:rRNA from 1 species